rnacentral:rRNA from 1 species
AUUGAACGCUGGCGGCAGGCCUAACACAUGCAAGUCGAGCGAGCGGCGGACGGGUGAGUAAUGUCUGGGAAACUGCCUGAUGGAGGGGGAUAACUACUGGAAACGGUAGCUAAUACCGCAUACCAUCAGAUGUGCCCAGAUAGGAUUAGCUAGUAGGUGGGGUAACGGCUCACCUAGGCGACGAUCCCUAGCUGGUCUGAGAGGAUGACCAGACCAACUGGAACUGAGACACGGUCCAGACUCCUACGAGAGACAGCAGUAGGGAAUAUUGCACAAUGGGCGCAGGCCUGAUGCAGCCAUGCCGCGUGUGUGAAGAAGGCCUGCGGGUUGUAAAGCACUUUCAGCUGGGAGGCGUUACCCGCAGAAGACGCACCGGCUAACUCCGUGCCAGCAGCCGCGGUAAUUC